CCAGUUUCUCUGCAUGUUCCACAGGGCAGCAGAAAUUAGAGGACAAUAAAAUCACAGCUAAGUGCACCAUAUUCAUCAUGUAAUACCUUUUAUCCUUUCCUGGAACUGGCUUUGGCACGCAUGGUUUCGCAAAACUGCCUCGGUGACAGGAGUGAUAUUUUGAUCUGCUUCUGGCAGUGGACUUACUGGAGCCUGGAGAUCGUAAUGCCACUGGAGCAGCACUCUUUUAGGAGGAGAAUGAUGUUUGUUGUGUUUUGCUACUUUUUCCCCUCAGUGAACCAUAGACAUGCUAAUUGUAAGGGUCAGAGAAAUGGGGUGCCUGUGAGGUGCAGAGUCUCCCCAGUGACUCGGUGCUUUUGCAUGGGUUGGUGAGGCCAGCAGUCCAUAUGGCAAGGGUGAGUGUGACCUGGCUGGAUAUCCUGCAUCCUGAACUGCUCCACCAUGGCUGGUCAAGCUGAACACCAUCAUGCCUUCAGUAGGGAUGAGACUGUCUCCUUCUGGGUGUCUUUGAAGGUUUUCUGCCCUCACUGGAGAGCCUGCAUCUCUGUUUCCAUCCAUCUCACUGGAAUGGGUAAUUCCUGUGCUUUAAUAAUUGUUUAUCUGAACCUCUUCAGCUCAGUUAAGGGGUUAAGGGCAUACUUCAGCAUGUUAGAGCAUGUUACUGCCUUCUUGCAGUACUAAGAAAGAGGAAGAGAAACUUUAGGCAAGUGAGAAGGAUUUGUGUUAACUCUGUUGCCAAGGAGUUUUUCUUAAAUUCUCA